rnacentral:rRNA from 1 species
AUUGAACGCUGGCGGCAGGCCUAACACAUGCAAGUCGAACGGUAACAGGAAGCAGCUUGCUGCUUUGCUGACGAGUGGCGGACGGGUGAGUAAUGUCUGGGAAACUGCCUGAUGGAGGGGGAUAACUACUGGAAACGGUAGCUAAUACCGCAUAACGUCGCAAGACCAAAGAGGGGGACCUUCGGGCCUCUUGCCAUCGGAUGUGCCCAGAUGGGAUUAGCUAGUAGGUGGGGUAACGGCUCACCUAGGCGACGAUCCCUAGCUGGUCUGAGGGGAUGACCAGCCACACUGGAACUGAGACACGGUCCAGACUCCUACGGGAGGCAGCAGUGGGGAAUAUUGCACAAUGGGCGCAAGCCUGAUGCAGCCAUGCCGCGUGUAUGAAGAAGGCCUUCGGGUUGUAAAGUACUUUCAGCGGGGAGGAAGGGAGUAAAGUUAAUACCUUUGCUCAUUGACGUUACCCGCAGAAGAAGCACCGGCUAACUCCGUG